rnacentral:rRNA from 1 species
CCUACGGGCGGCUGCAGUGGGGAAUAUUGGACAAUGGGCGAAAGCCUGAUCCAGCCAUGCCGCGUGUGUGAAGAAGGCCUUCGGGUUGUAAAGCACUUUCAGUGGGGAAGAAAGCCUUGGGGCUAAUACCCUCGAGGAAGGACAUCACCCACAGAAGAAGCACCGGCUAACUCCGUGCCAGCAGCCGCGGUAAUACGGAGGGUGCGAGCGUUAAUCGGAAUUACUGGGCGUAAAGCGCGCGUAGGCGGUCUGAUAAGCCGGUUGUGAAAGCCCCGGGCUCAACCUGGGAACGGCAUCCGGAACUGUCAGGCUAGAGUGCAGGAGAGGAAGGUAGAAUUCCCGGUGUAGCGGUGAAAUGCGUAGAGAUCGGGAGGAAUACUAGUGGCGAAGGCGGCCUUCUGGACUGACACUGACGCUGAGGUGCGAAAGCGUGGGUAGCAAACAGGAUUAGAUACCCCGGUAGUC